rfam:Schistosoma curassoni strain Dakar, Senegal genome assembly, scaffold: SCTD_scaffold0004712
ACCUAGCUGACGAGUCCCAAAUAAGACGAGACACACGUUCUGGAU